ensembl:lncRNA
AUCGAAGGUGAGGGUAUUUUCCUGGAAAUCUGUGUGUACCUGAGGUCUCCUGAAGAUUCUCCAAGUCACGUUAAGACAGUGAAGAGAAACAGGCAGAGGGGAGCAUGCACCCAAAAUUUGCUUCCAAUCAAUUCAAAUGAGAAAGUGUCAGCCAGAAAAAAGGUGAAAAAAGGAAACAAUGAACUCUCCCUCCACAUCUGAACACCAUACAUAGACUAAGACAUUCCUAUUUCUGUGGGAGUAAUGCACCACUUGCUCUCCCUUUCACAAAUGUUGGUAGAUAGUGUUAUCAAAACAAGUUGGGUUUUUUUGUUUGGGUUUUUUGUACAUAUUUCAAUUAGAAUUGUGAGCCUUGAUUGCUGUGAAUUAUAACUUAAGAGUACUGAAAAAGGGAAGGUUUCACAAGGUCUCAGUGUAGCUGUUUUUUCACCUUAAAAGUAGAUAGCUGUACCCAUUUAUGUCUAAGAGGAAAAAACUCCUUGCUGCUGUUCUUGGCUUUCUGUGUAGGUAUACACAGGAAAAACAGUGGGUUACCUUUUAAGUCUAUCU